rnacentral:rRNA from 1 species
GGACGAACGCUGGCGGCGUGCUUAACACAUGCAAGUCGAGCGAUGAAGCUUCUUCGGAAGUGGAGUUAGCGGCGGACGGGUGAGUAACACGUGGGUAACCUGCCUCAUAGAGGGGAAUAGCCUUUCGAAAGGAAGAUUAAUACCGCAUAAGAUUGUAGUACCGCAUGGUACAGCAAUUAAAGGAGUAAUCCGCUAUGAGAUGGACCCGCGUCGCAUUAGCUAGUUGGUGAGGUAACGGCUCACCAAGGCGACGAUGCGUAGCCGACCUGAGAGGGUGAUCGGCCACAUUGGGACUGAGACACGGCCCAGACUCCUACGGGAGGCAGCAGGUGGGGAAUAUUGCACAAUGGGGGAAACCCUGAAUGCAGCAACGCCGCGUGAGUGAUGACGGCCUUCGGGUUGUAAAACUCUGUCUUUGGGGACGAUAAUGACGGUACCCAAGGAGGAAGCCACGGCUAACUACGUGCCAGCCGCCGC